AUGGAGGUGGGGACGUGGGCGGUGGUGGUGUCGGCGGUGGCCGCGUACAUGGCGUGGUUCUGGCGGAUGUCCCGCGGGCUGCGCGGGCCGCGGGUUUGGCCCGUGCUCGGCAGCCUGCCGGGCCUGGUGCAGCACGCCGAGGACAUGCACGAGUGGAUCGCCGGCAACCUGCGCCGCGCGGGCGGCACGUACCAGACCUGCAUCUUCGCCGUGCCCGGGGUGGCGCGCCGCGGCGGCCUGGUCACCGUCACCUGCGACCCGCGCAACCUGGAGCACGUCCUGAAGGCGCGCUUCGACAACUACCCCAAGGGCCCCUUCUGGCACGGCGUCUUCCGGGACCUGCUCGGCGACGGCAUCUUCAAUUCCGACGGCGACACCUGGCUCGCGCAGCGCAAGACGGCCGCGCUCGAGUUCACCACCCGCACGCUCCGGACGGCCAUGUCCCGCUGGGUCUCGCGCUCCAUCCACGGCCGCCUCCUGCCCAUCCUGGCCGACGCGGCCAAGGGCAAGGCGCAGGUGGAUCUCCAGGACCUCCUCCUCCGCCUCACCUUCGACAACAUCUGCGGCCUGGCCUUCGGCAAGGACCCGGAGACGCUCGCCCAGGGCCUGCCGGAGAACGAGUUCGCCUCCGCGUUCGACCGCGCCACCGAGGCCACGCUCAACCGCUUCAUCUUCCCGGAGUUCCUGUGGCGCUGCAAAAAGUGGCUGGGCCUCGGCAUGGAGACCACGCUGACCAGCAGCAUGGCCCACGUCGACCAGUACCUCGCCGCCGUCAUCAAGAAGCGCAAGCUCGAGCUCGCCGCCGGCAACGGCAAAUGCGACACGGCGGCGACGCACGACGACCUGCUCUCCCGGUUCAUGCGGAAGGGUUCCUACUCGGACGAGUCGCUCCAGCACGUGGCGCUCAACUUCAUCCUCGCCGGCCGCGACACCUCCUCCGUGGCGCUCUCCUGGUUCUUCUGGCUCGUGUCCACCCACCCUGCGGUGGAGCGCAAGAUCGUGCGCGAGCUCUGCUCCGUUCUCGCCGCGUCACGGGGCGCCCAUGACCCGGCAUUGUGGCUGGCGGAGCCCUUCACCUUCGAGGAGCUCGACCGCCUGGUCUACCUCAAGGCGGCGCUGUCGGAGACCCUCCGCCUCUACCCCUCCGUCCCCGAGGACUCCAAGCACGUCGUCGCGGACGACUACCUCCCCGACGGCACCUUCGUGCCGGCCGGGUCGUCGGUCACCUACUCCAUAUACUCGGCGGGGCGCAUGAAGGGGGUGUGGGGGGAGGACUGCCUCGAGUUCCGGCCGGAGCGAUGGCUGUCGGCCGACGGCACCAAGUUCGAGCAGCACGACUCGUACAAGUUCGUGGCGUUCAACGCCGGGCCGAGGGUGUGCCUGGGCAAGGACCUAGCCUACCUGCAGAUGAAGAACAUCGCCGGGAGCGUGCUGCUCCGGCACCGCCUGACCGUGGCGCCGGGCCACCGCGUGGAGCAGAAGAUGUCGCUCACGCUCUUCAUGAAGGGCGGGCUACGGAUGGAGGUACGUCCGCGCGACCUCGCCCCCGUCCUCGACGAGCCCUGCGGCCUGGACGCCGGCGCCGCCACCGCCGCCGCAGCAAGUGCCACAGCGCCGUGCGCGUAG
rnacentral:rRNA from 1 species